GCCAGCGGACAGCCAGGGGUGGGGGAUCGAUCCCAAACGGCUUCACACACACACACACACACACACACACACAAAACAACAACAAAAAACGAAAACCCAACCCAAAUGUUUGACUUUUGUAAUGAGGAAUGGUCUUCUUGCCCAGAGCAGCGCCAACGGGGCGGUCCGGGGCUCUGUGCCCCUUCCCUAAUACAAAGCAAGGAAACAGCUCCUGGGGGGCGGCAAAUGCUUCCGAAAAUUACCGCUGUAAUUUGAACGUGGCUCAUCUGCAGGCACAGAGCUCCCCUCUGCCCCCAGUCCAGGUUUAUGACAUCCACCAGACGGGGGUGAUUUUAACUUACUCAUCCAACAUCGUGUUAUGGCCAAGCGUGGGCGCAAAGCGCACCGCUGUGUGCUGGGAACGAUGGUUUUCCCUUAGGAUGCACCGAUGCAAUGAAGACAAAAAGCCCCUCUGGAAGCAGAGCGCGCCCCUCUGUUUUGCUAAAGGAUGUUCCCAAAUGGCUGCGGACUCCGAUAUCAGCUGGGAACCGCUCCCAGGGAACGCUGCGAAACCAACACUGCGAACCCCGGGGUGAGAACGGCACUGCUGCUCGUGUGCAAGGAGGAUGCUCAGCUCGUAAGCUGAAGCAAGCAGGAGGGACUCCGGAAAUCUUUAGUUCUUGGCACGGGCUCUGCUAUUGAAAUGAAAUGGAGCUAUUUAACGGCGGGACGGACGGACGAGGAGGUGGAUUUCAGCUUAAAGCCUCCGCAUCGCCCGCAGCCCCGCAAGCAGGAGCUGCACGGAGGGUCCCCUCUUCCUGCAUCCAGACCACUCGAUGGCAGCACUGCCUAAAAAUGCGGCAGAGGGACGGCUGAGCAGCCUGCCGGCUUGGGGAGGUUUGCUAGCGACGGUGCUUCCAACCUUUCCCUCCGCUGCUUUGGGGCAUUGCUGUGAAUAUGACCAAACCCCAAAGGAGAGGAGGCCCUGGCAAUGGGGGACAGCUUCAGCAGCCAUCUCAGCGCACCACAGCAAACCCUCUCCCAUUCCAGCAAGCCCCUCCAUGCCCCUCCUGAUAACAUCACUCCACUGCAGGGCAGGGAGACAUCGCACCCGUUUCUCCACCUCCGUUUUCUCACUGGGAAAAAGGAGGUGAUGCCUUAUGCACAUUCCUGUUGGAAAGAACCACCUAUUUUUUCCUGUUCUGCUGCCGUGUGAGGAAUUGAAGUGCUACCUGAAGCAGGCUGUGGAUAGGCAUGUGUGCCGUGGCAUGUCCAGGCGGGGCAACUGGGAGCAAGGCCCUUCUGAUAGGAAAGGCUCAGGCCCUUCUGAAGACCUCCAGGCAUCGUUUGUGUCCAGGUGUCCACACCAGCGUGCUAUGACCAAAGGAGAGACAACGCACCAACAAAGCCGGCCCACUCUGUCCCUGUGUAACAACCAAUGCAAGCAGGACGAUGAGCCAAAAGGACUGUGGUGUAAGCUCUUUAACUGUGCUGAAUUGCUCUUCAUCUCCUAAGAACUGAUGUGAGAAACUCUACUACCAUAGCUGGGUGAGAAGCUGCACCACUGCUGCCUUCCCCACCAAGGGAUGGGGCUUUUUUAAACACUUCCCAGGGCUGUGAACCACACAGUGGACAGCAAUGCGUUUUUCUUUAC
rnacentral:lncRNA from 1 species